rnacentral:lncRNA from 1 species
UGAUAGUUUAUAUUUGCUCAACAUGUAUAUACCUUAACGAACUUCUUCAGACCAUUUGACAUAUUUAUAUUAUUGGCUAUUUUUGCCAAUUGUGUGGCCUUAGCUAUUUACAUCCCAUUCCCUGAAGAUGAUUCUAAUUCAACAAAUCAUAACUUGGAGCUAAUACAGGUGAAGAUAAAUGGAGGAACUGAACAUGAGGGACUCAAAAGCAGUCAUUUGAAUGAAACUUUAUAGUCGCAGCUUUGAAACUGUGCCCCCUACCUGUGGAUAGAAAAGGGAAAUAUUUUUUUCUACUGUAUUUUUACUAGAGAGGUUGUGAACUUACUGAAC